CGCGAAGUGGUGGAAUGGGUAGACACGCGACGUUCAGAACGUCGUGCCAUCAUGGCGUAGGAGUUCGACUCUCCUCUUCGCGA
rnacentral:tRNA from 2 species